GAUGAACGCUGGCGGCGUGCCUAAUACAUGCAAGUCGAGCGAACGGACGAGAAGCUUGCUUCUCUGAUGUUAGCGGCGGACGGGUGAGUAACACGUGGAUAACCUACCUAUAAGACUGGGAUAACUUCGGGAAACCGGAGCUAAUACCGGAUAAUAUUUUGAACCGCAUGGUUCAAAAGUUAAAGACGGUCUUUCUGUCACUUAUAGAUGGAUCCGCGCUGCAUUAGCUAGUUGGUAAGGUAACGGCUUACCAAGGCAACGAUGCAUAGCCGACCUGAGAGGGUGGUCGGCCACACUGGAUCUGAGACACGGUCCAGACUCCUACGGGAGGCAGCAGUAGGGAAUCUUCCGCAAUGGGCGAAAGCCUGACGGAGCAACGCCGGGUGAGUGAUGAAGGUCUUCGGAUCGUAAAACUCUGUUAUUAGGGAAGAACAUAUGUGUAAGUACCUGUGCACAUCUUGACGGUACCUAAUCAGAAAGCCACGGCUAACUACGUG
rnacentral:rRNA from 1 species